rnacentral:rRNA from 1 species
ACGAACGCUGGCGGCGUGCUUCACACAUGCAAGUCGAACGGUGAAGCGCCUUCCUUUUUGGUGGGUGUGGAUGAGUGGCGAACGGGUGAGUAACACGUGAGUAACCUGCCCCCUUCUUCUGGAUAACCGCAUGAAAGUGUGGCCAAUACGGGAUAUUCUGGGUCUGUCGCAUGAUGGGUCUGGGAAAGAUAUUGUUUCGGUGGGGGAUGGGCUCGCGGCCUAUCAGCUUGUUGGUGGGGUGAUGGCCUACCAAGGCGGUGACGGGUAGCCGGCCUGAGAGGGUGGGCGGUCACACAGGGACUGAGACACAGCCCAGACUCCUACGGGAGACAGAAGUGGGGAAUACUGCACAAUGGGCGCAAGCCUGAUGCAGCGACGCCGCGUGAGGGAUGGAGGCCUUCGGGUUGUGAACCUCUUUCGCCAGUGAAGCAGGCCUGCCUCGUUUGUGGGUGGGUUGACGGUAGCUGGAUAAGAAGCGCCGGCUAACUACGUG